CCUACGGGAGGCAGCAGUGGGGAAUAUUGCGCAAUGGGCGAAAGCCUGACGCAGCGACGCCGCGUGAGGGAUGAAGGUCUUCGGAUCGUAAACCUCUGUUAGCAGGGAAGAAAGUGCACUAUGCUAAUCAUCAGUGAAUUGACGGUACCUGCAAAGGAAGCACCGGCUAACUCCGUGCCAGCAGCCGCGGUAAUACGGAGGGUGCGAGCGUUAAUCGGAUUUAUUGGGCGUAAAGCGCGCGUAGGCGGUAUGUCAAGUCAAGGGUGAAAUCCCGGGGCUCAACGUGGGAACUGCCUUUGAAACUGGCAGGCUGGAGUGUGUGAGAGGAAAGUGGAAUUCCAGGUGUAGGGGUGAAAUGCGUAGAUAUCUGGAGGAACAUCAGUGGCGAAGGCGACUAUCUGGCACAUAACUGACGCUGAGGAGCGAAAGCGUGGGUAGCAAACAGGAUUAGAUACCCCAGUAGUC
rnacentral:rRNA from 1 species